ACUCAAAGGAAUUGACGGGGACCUGCACAAGCGGUGGAGCGCGUGGUUUAAUUCGUAACGAAGCGUAGAACCUUACCAAGGCUUGACAUCUCUAGAAGUCCCUGGAAACAGGGAUGUGCCGCAAGGAACUAGAUGACAGGUGCUGCACGGUCAUCGUCAGCUCGUGCUGUGAAGUGUCCCGUUCAGUCGGUUAACGAGCGCAACCCUUACCCUGUGUUAUACAUGUCACAGGGGACUGCCCCAGUUAAUGGGGAGGAAGGUGGGGAUGACGUUAGAUCAGCGUGGCUCUUACGCCUUGGGCCACACACACGCUACAAUGGGAAGUACAAUGGGUUGCCAAACCGCGAGGUGGAGCUAAUCUCAUCAAAACUUCCCCCAAUUCGGAUUGCAGGCUGCAACUCGCCUGCAUGAAGUCGGAAUCGCUAGUAACGGCCAAUCAGCUACGUGGCCGUGAAUACGUUCUCAGGUCUUGUACACACCGCCCGU
rnacentral:rRNA from 1 species